rnacentral:lncRNA from 1 species
CAUGCAGCACAACUUUGCUCUUCUCAUACUUCAAACAAUUAUUUGAUCAACCUUGAAUGAAGUAUUGACUCAGAUAAAGUAGGGCUAAAUUAGUCUCUUAAAAAAUGCUUUCUUAAUGUUGGUUGAACCUUGAACGAAGUAUAGAGCCUGCUAAACUAGGUAAUAAAAACGGUUUUCUACCUCAAACUGAAGGCUUGAUGCUAUCAAGAAUUGACAUG